rnacentral:lncRNA from 1 species
GGAACAUUAGGAAAUGGUGUAAAGCAUCAUUCUUGGUCUGUAAUAGUUCCUGACUUCUUUCCUUUGAUGAUAUCUGAAUUUCACUUUUAUUGUUGAUGGAAAGUCUUGGCAAUUCCUUCAAGAUGCCCUCUGCUUUCCCAAUAGGUCUGAAGUUGCACUCAUUCAGAACAAGGUGUGUUUCUGUGACUCUGGUCGGCGCUUUGUGGAUCUAAGGACCCUAAAACAGUUUAUAAUAAAUUCUUAGGGUCUCUACCAUUUUAUUCCUUUGAGACUUUUCAUCACAGUGUUAGAAUAACAGUAUGCAUUUUCAGAAAGAAAUGUAAGACUUAAUGACCAUUAGAUUUGUUUGUCAGAUCUGGUGAUCAGUGAGCCCCUACGUUCUACAAGACCAGAAGUAUCUUUGGGGUUACUCAAAAGGAGUGUUCCCAUAGAAAUCUUUAAGCCUCAAUCUCAUUGUAUGUCCUGGGAUAUCUCCUCUAUUCCUCUAUUUCAGAAUGUCCCCUGUGUUCUUCACCAAAGUUGUUCUGCUCAAAGCCAGCAGAUACCUGCUAAUAUGAAUAAUGGUCCAGAACAAUUUGGAAAGGGAGACAACCCAGCUGUGUCUGCCUCAUGCUACUGAAAAACUAGGUUCCUGACCUAGAAUCAGACAGCACCAAGAAAAAGUCUGGAGAAAAUGACACACCUGGUACAUGUCCCCUUCCAGAACCUGCCUGCAGUUCCUAGGAAUCUGUGGCCACAAGUCCUGCCCUGCCCCGGAAGAGUGACAUUUCCAGUCAGCCCUUCUUCUGCCCCCAGGAUGGAGUUCCAGCAGUCUGCUCUUACACUGGGACACGCCCUGCCUCCAAGAGAUCUAGUGAACCUCUAGGUUAGGCCUAAAUUAUUUUUAUUAAUGUGUCAUUUAAACUUCUACAGUAAAACACCAAGUAUUAAUCCAUUUUAUGUUAAUGUUUAAUAAGCCCUAAAACAAAUUUCUGAUUCAAACGCCCAAAAAGGCAAAAGCUACAAAACCAGGAAAAUAAAGAUUAAUAAUAUGAAUGAAAUGUGACA